AGUGGGAUAGCUGGGUCAUGUGGUGGUUCCUUUUCUAAGAAAUCUCCAUACUACUUUCCAGAGUGGUCACACCAAUUUGUAGUCCCACUAGUAAU
rnacentral:pre_miRNA from 1 species